ACUGAAUAGAUACCCCGGUAGUCCACGCCCUAAACGAUGCAUACUUGGUGUGAGCCAUUCAUUUGGUUCGUGCCGGAGCUAACGCGUUAAGUAUGCCGCCUGGGGAGUACGGUCGCAAGGCCGAAACUCAAAGGAAUUGACGGGGGCCCGCACAAGCGGUGGAGCAUGUGGUUCAAUUCGACGCAACGCGAAGAACCUUACCUGGGCUCGAAAUGCUGUGGGCAAUUCCUGGAAACAGGGACUUCCCGCAAGGGACUGCAGUAUAGGUGCUGCAUGGCUGUCGUCAGCUCGUGUCGUGAGAUGUUGGGUUAAGUCCCGCAACGAGCGCAACCCUCGUCCUGUGUUGCUAACCGAAAGGUGCACUCUCAGGAGACUGCCGGCGAUAAGCUGGAGGAAGGUGGGGAUGACGUCAAGUCAUCAUGGCCUUUAUGUCCAGGGCUACACACGUGCUACAAUGGGCGGUACAAACCGCUGCAAACCCGCGAGGGGAGCUAAUCGGAGAAAACCGUUCUCAGUUCGGAUCGCAGG
rnacentral:rRNA from 1 species